ACUCCUACGGGAGGCAGCAGUGGGGAAUAUUGCACAAUGGGGGAAACCCUGAUGCAGCCAUGCCGCGUGUGUGAAGAAGGCCUUCGGGUUGUAAAGCACUUUCAGUAGGGAGGUAAGGUAGUGUAGUUAACACCUGCAUCAUUUGACGUUAUCCUUACAGAUAAAGCACCGGCUAACUCCGUGCCAGCAGCCGCGGUAAUACGGAGGGUGCGAGCGUUAAUCGGAAUUACUGGGCG
rnacentral:rRNA from 1 species